UUGAUGUUCACAGUGGGAUUUU
rnacentral:miRNA from 1 species